rnacentral:rRNA from 1 species
GACGAACGCUGGCGGCGUGCUUAACACAUGCCAGUCGAACGGAAAGGCCCUGCUUUUGUGGGGUGCUCGAGUGGCGAACGGGUGAGUAACACGUGAGUAACCUGCCCUUGACUUUGGGAUAACUUCAGGAAACUGGGGCUAAUACCGGAUAGGAGCUCCUGCUGCAUGGUGGGGGUUGGAAAGUUUCGGCGGUUGGGGAUGGACUCGCGGCUUAUCAGCUUGUUGGUGGGGUAGUGGCUUACCAAGGCUUUGACGGGUAGCCGGCCUGAGAGGGUGACCGGCCACAUUGGGACUGAGAUACGGCCCAGACGCCUACGGGAGGCAGCAGUGGGGAAUAUUGCACAAUGGGCGGAAGCCUGAUGCAGCAACGCCGCGUGCGGGAUGACGGCCUUCGGGUUGUAAACCGCUUUCGCCUGUGACGAAACGUGAGUGACGGUAAUGGGUAAAGAAGCACCGGCUAACUACGUG